UUAUCACCACAAAUCAAGAAGCUUGGAGAAGAACAAAGAAAGAAAAAAAAAAAGGGUUGAAGGCAUUCGACCAUGGCUAGCCAAAUUUGGCCCCAUGGAAAACUUAUCAAAAAAAUUAUUUCUCCUAGUAUUCCAAGCAAUUUGAAGGCCCUAAUUAACAUGGAGAGGUUGUUGGAGCAAUAAAACCAUUCAUUUGUGCAAUUUCAACCCUAGUCGGGCAAGAAGAGAUAAGUGAAGAAAGACUAGCGAGAUUGGACAAUUAAGCGUAGCCAAUAGGACGUGGGACAGGUACACCCAGAUGAGUUGAAGCUAUUAUAGAAGAUGUUCCAGCGGAGUUGGCAAGCUCCACUUGCUCCUGGAGUGCUGCCGAGUCAGAGUAUAUGUGCUAUGAUGUCUGAUUAAUGUUAGAGACUUUGCAGACAGAGUCGUGGGUAUUGGUUGUCAGUUCUGUAAGCGGCUCCAUCAGCCGAUGUGUCAUUUUGUGUUAUGAUAUAAAUUCUAUAUAAUUACAGAUUUUGUUUGA